AAGUGAAUGGAUGGCACAAAUUUAACGCGGAAUGGAACAGCAAAUUUUGAUAAAUUAGAACAUGCAAACACAUAAGCUUUUCUUGUUAACAAAAUGUUAACAUCAAUAUUAAUAUAGCAUGUUACUUACUCAUCAUCGUCGUCAUCCAAAAUAGAAGGGAAGAAAAACUCCAACGAAAAAGGGAAGGAUACAGUUUUCUUGUUCAAAAAGAAAGAAAAAAACAGGUUGGAGAGGCGUUAAGGCCAAACAAGAGAGGAAAGAGAGAGAUAGAGAGAUCAAGAACGAAAGAGGGAGAGAGGGAGAAACAAAACAUGGGGUUGUGCUUUGGUUGCUUCGACGGAGGCAACAAGCGUAUGACAAAGGAGGAAGAAAGAUUAGCCUCUGAAGAAGCACGCGCUAGAGCUGCUGAAGCCGCCCAGAAAAAGCUUGAACAACAAGGAGAGGUAAAACAAUCUGGAGAAAAGCAGGUUGAAAACUCUAACAAUGGUGAACCAUUUGUAAAGGUUUAGUGAUAUUCAAUGGACCGUUUAGAUUUUGGGGCAGAUGGGUUGAGGUUAGACAAUUUGUCUGCCCGAGUCAAUUGUUUAUUACGUGUAAGUACUAAGAUUAUAUAGGUGCUUCAACCAAUUUCCCUAUUGAUAGUUUUCCGUGAUCCAAGGAUGAACAGAAGGUCUCCGCCACAAUUGUCUCAUCGGUUAAAUUUGUUAUUUCUUGGACCAAGAAAUGUUAUGUUUCAUUAUGAAGAAUUUGUGGUGUAAAUGAAACGAACGAGGAUAAGUUUGAGAAUGUAGUUUACUACUUUGAUUUCUUAUGUUGGUAUUGAAGAGAAUUCCGUUUACAACAAUUUGAAAGCAUGUAUUAACCAAAUUGUAUUUUUUUUUUUUGGAUUGUUUUAUGAACGUAAACAUGUUGGUUGUUUCAAUGAAUGUUUGAAUAAGUGUUAACAAAUUAUCAA